rnacentral:rRNA from 1 species
GCAAGUCGAACGAGUUCUGAUUAUUGAAAGGUGCUUGCAUCUUGAUUUAAUUUUGAACGAGUGGCGGACGGGUGAGUAACACGUGGGUAACCUGCCCUUAAGUGGGGGAUAACAUUUGGAAACAGAUGCUAAUACCGCAUAAAUCCAAGAACCGCAUGGUUCUUGGCUGAAAGAUGGCGUAAGCUAUCGCUUUUGGAUGGACCCGCGGCGUAUUAGCUAGUUGGUGAGGUAACGGCUCACCAAGGCAAUGAUACGUAGCCGAACUGAGAGGUUGAUCGGCCACAUUGGGACUGAGACACGGCCCAAACUCCUACGGGAGGCAGCAGUAGGGAAUCUUCCACAAUGGACGCAAGUCUGAUGGAGCAACGCCGCGUGAGUGAAGAAGGCUUUCGGGUCGUAAAACUCUGUUGUUGGAGAAGAAUGGUCGGCAGAGUAACUGUUGUCGGCGUGACGGUAUCCAACCAGAAAGCCACGGCUAACUACGUGCCAGCAGCCGCGGUAAUACGUAGGUGGCAAGCGUUAUCCGGAUUUAUUGGGCGUAAAGCGAGCGCAGGCGGUUUUUUAAGUCUGAUGUGAAAGCCCUCGGCUUAACCGAGGAAGUGCAUCGGAAACUGGRAAACUUGAGUGCAGAAGAGGACAGUGGAACUCCAUGUGUAGCGGUGAAAUGCGUAGAUAUAUGGAAGAACACCAGUGGCGAAGGCGGCUGUCUGGUCUGUAACUGACGCUGAGGCUCGAAAGCAUGGGUAGCGAACAGGAUUAGAUACCCUGGUAGUCCAUGCCGUAAACGAUGAAUGCUAGGUGUUGGAGGGUUUCCGCCCUUCAGUGCCGCAGCUAACGCAUUAAGCAUUCCGCCUGGGGAGUACGACCGCAAGGUUGAAACUCAAAGGAAUUGACGGGGGCCCGCACAAGCGGUGGAGCAUGUGGUUUAAUUCGAAGCAACGCGAAGAACCUUACCAGGUCUUGACAUCUUUUGAUCACCUGAGAGAUCAGGUUUCCCCUUCGGGGGCAAAAUGACAGGUGGUGCAUGGUUGUCGUCAGCUCGUGUCGUGAGAUGUUGGGUUAAGUCCCGCAACGAGCGCAACCCUUAUGACUAGUUGCCAGCAUUUAGUUGGGCACUCUAGUAAGACUGCCGGUGACAAACCGGAGGAAGGUGGGGAUGACGUCAAAUCAUCAUGCCCCUUAUGACCUGGGCUACACACGUGCUACAAUGGAUGGUACAACGAGUUGCGAGACCGCGAGGUCAAGCUAAUCUCUUAAAGCCAUUCUCAGUUCGGACUGUAGGCUGCAACUCGCCUACACGAAGUCGGAAUCGCUAGUAAUCGCGGAUCAGCACGCCGCGGUGAAUACGUUCCCGGGCCUUGUACACACCGCCCGUCACACCAUGAGAGUUUGUAACACCCGAAGCCGGUGGCGUAACCCUUUUAGGGAGCGAGCCGUCUAA